rnacentral:rRNA from 1 species
AUUGAACGCUGGCGGCAGGCUUAACACCUGCACGUCGAGCGAGCGGCGGACGGGUGAGUAAUGUCUGUUACACUGCCUGAUGGAGGGGGAUAACUACUGGCAACGGUAGCUAAUACCGCAUACACUCAGAUGUCCCCAUAUGGGCUUAGCUCGUAGGUGGGGUAAUGGCUCACCUAGGUGACGAUCCCUAGCUGGUCUGAGAGGAUGACCAGCAACACUGAAACUGGGACAGUGUCCAGGCGCCGACGGGCGGCAGCAGUGGGGAAUAUGGCACAAUGAGCGCAAGCCUGAGGCAGCCAUGCCGCGUGUGUUAAGAAGGCCAUCGGGUGGAAACGCACUUUCAGCGAGGAGGCGUUACUCGCAGAAGAAGCACCGGCUAACUCCGUGCCAGCAGCCGCGGUAAUAC